rnacentral:rRNA from 1 species
GGAUUGACACAUCGGUCGUGCCUUAAGGGGUAUGAACUGGUGUAGUCAGUUUCUCACCUUCUGGAGAACCGCGAUGUCCUUAAUUGGGUGCCGCGGGGAACCAGGACCUUUACUUUGAAAAAUUAGAGUGUUUAAAGCAGGCAUUUUGCUUGAAUACAUUAGCAUGGAAUAAUAAAAAUAGGACGGAUGGUUCUAUUUUGUUGGUUUCUAGGAUCACCGUAAUGAUUAAUAGGGAUAGUUGGG